rnacentral:rRNA from 1 species
GAUGAACGCUGGCGGCGUGCUUAACACAUGCAAGUCGAACGAUGAAGCCCAGCUUGCUGGGUGGAUUAGUGGCGAACGGGUGAGUAACACGUGAGUAACCUGCCCUUAACUCUGGGAUAAGCCUGGGAAACUGGGUCUAAUACCGGAUAGGAGCGUCCACCGCAUGGUGGGUGUUGGAAAGAUUUAUCGGUUUUGGAUGGACUCGCGGCCUAUCAGCUUGUUGGUGAGGUAAUGGCUCACCAAGGCGACGACGGGUAGCCGGCCUGAGAGGGUGACCGGCCACACUGGGACUGAGACACGGCCCAGACUCCUACGGGAGGCAGCAGUGGGGAAUAUUGCACAAUGGGCGCAAGCCUGAUGCAGCGACGCCGCGUGAGGGAUGACGGCCUUCGGGGUGUAAACCUCUUUCAGUAGGGAAGAAGCGAAAGUGACGGUACCUGCAGAAGAAGCACCGGCUAACUACG